AGACAGAGGGUGCAUGCGUUGUUCGGAAUUACUGGGCGUAAAGGGCGUGUAGGCUGUACGGCAAGUCGGGUGUGAAAUCCCAUGGCUUAACCAUGGAACUGCAUUCGAUACCGCCGAACUAGAGUCCGGGAGAGGGAAGUGGAAUUCCCAGUGUAGAAGUGAAAUUCGUAGAUAUUGGGAGGAACACCAGUAGCGAAGGCGACUUCCUGGCCCGGCACUGACGCUGAUACGCGAAAGCGUGGGUAGC
rnacentral:rRNA from 1 species